ACGUAGGAGGCAAACGUUAUCCGGAUUUACUGGGCGUAAAGCGCGUGUAGGUGGUACUGUAAGUAGGGCGUGAAAGCUCCUGGCUCAACUGGGAGAGGACGUUCUAAACUACAGAACUAGAGGAUGGUAGAGGGAGGUGGAAUUCCAGGUGUACCGGUGCCUUGCUCUUAUCUCUGGAUCACCCCCUGUGUCUAUGUCGCCCUCCUGUCCCUUUCCUGCCCCUCCGACGCUAAAGCUACUGUAGCAAACUG
rnacentral:rRNA from 1 species